UACGAAGGGGCUAGCGUUGCUCGGAAUCACUGGGCGUAAAGCGCACGUAGGCGGCUUUUAAGUCAGGGGUGAAAUCCUGGAGCUCAACUCCAGAACUGCCUUUGAUACUGAGAAGCUUGAGUCCGGGAGAGGUGAGUGGAACUGCGAGUGUAGAGGUGAAAUUCGUAGAUAUUCGCAAAGAACACCAGUGGCGAAGGCGGCUCACUGGCCCGGUACUGACGCUGAGGUGCGAAAGCGUGGGGAGCAACAGGG
rnacentral:rRNA from 1 species